rnacentral:lncRNA from 1 species
GGGAGGAGGCAGCGGCUGGUACCAUUCCCGGGGCACUCAACAUCCCUGUGUCUGAGUUGGAAAUGGCCUUGAACAUGGACCCAGCUGCUUUUCAGACUUCAUACUGUGCUGAGAAGCCAAAGCUAGAAGACAAGAAUCUUAUUUUCUUCUGUCAGAUGGGCAGGCGGGGCCUCCAGGCCACACAGCUGGCACAAGGUCUUGGAUACACAGGGGCUCGAAACUAUGCCGGGGCCUAUAAGGAAUGGCUGGAGAAAGAGGGCUAAAUAGAAGGCUUACUGAUUUGUGAUUGCUCUCAUGGCCACCUUGGUGUGCUCGGCAAAUCCUUGUAGUGUUUUACACAUGACAAAUUUAAAUAAAAAGAGCAUUUAAUGAA